GAUGAACGCUGGCGGCGUGCUUAACACAUGCAAGUCGAACGAUGAAGCCCAGCUUGCUGGGUGGAUUAGUGGCGAACGGGUGAGUAACACGUGAGUAACCUGCCCUUGACUCUGGGAUAAGCCCGGGAAACUGGGUCUAAUACCGGAUAGGAGCGCCUGUCGCAUGACGGGUGUUGGAAAGAUUUUUCGGUCAUGGAUGGACUCGCGGCCUAUCAGCUUGUUGGUGAGGUAAUGGCUCACCAAGGCGACGACGGGUAGCCGGCCUGGGAGGGUGACCGGCCACACUGGGACUGAGACACGGCCCAGACUCCUACGGGAGGCAGCAGUGGGGAAUAUUGCACAAUGGGCGGAAGCCUGAUGCAGCGACGCCGCGUGAGGGAUGACGGCCUUCGGGUUGUAAACCUCUUUCAGUAGGGAAGAAGCGAAAGUGACGGUACCUGCAGAAGAAGCACCGGCUAACUACGUG
rnacentral:rRNA from 1 species